rnacentral:tRNA from 1 species
GCGGGGAUAGCCCAGCCCGGUAUCGCGAUCUCUACUUUUUAUCCAGUGGUGCGAAAGCGCCUCGGGAGUUCAAAUCUCCCUCCUCGCG